rnacentral:rRNA from 1 species
UGGGGAUGACGUCAAGUCCUCAUGGCCUUAUGACCAGGGCUACACACGUACUACAAUGGCCGGUACAAAGGGCAGCCACUUAGCGAUAAGGAGCCAACUCCCGUAAAGCCGGUCUCAGUCCGGAUUGGAGUCUGCAACUCGACUCCAUGAAGUUGGAAUCGCUAGUAAUCGCAGAUCAGCACGCUGCGGUGAAUACGUUCCCGGGCCUU